GACGCGGAGGGACAUUA
rnacentral:rRNA from 2 species